rnacentral:rRNA from 1 species
UACAGAGGGUGCAAGCGUUGUUCGGAUUUACUGGGCGUAAAGCGCCCGUAGGCGGCCUGACAAGUUGGACGUGAAAGCUCCUGGCUUAACUGGGAGAGGCCGUUCAAAACUGUCAAGCUAGAGUCUGGAAGAGGAGAGCGGAAUUCCCGGUGUAGUGGUGGAAUGCGUAGAGAUCGGGAGGAACACCAGUGGCGAAAGCGGCUCUCUGGUCCAAAACUGACGCUGAGGGGCGAAAGCGUGGGGAGCGAACGGG